rnacentral:rRNA from 1 species
GUGGGGAAUAUUGGACAAUGAGGGGAACCCUGAUCCAGCCAUGCCGCGUGUGUGAAGAAGGCCUUUUGGUUGUAAAGCACUUUAAGCGAGGAGGAGGCUACCGAGAUUAAUACUCUUGGAUAGUGGACGUUACUCGCAGAAUAAGCACCGGCUAACUCUGUGCCAGCAGCCGCGGUAAUACAGAGGGUGCAAGCGUUAAUCGGAUUUACUGGGCGUAAAGCGCGCGUAGGUGGCCAAUUAAGUCAAAUGUGAAAUCCCCGAGCUUAACUUGGGAAUUGCAUUCGAUACUGGUUGGCUAGAGUAUGGGAGAGGAUGGUAGAAUUCCAGGUGUAGCGGUGAAAUGCGUAGAGAUCUGGAGGAAUACCGAUGGCGAAGGCAGCCAUCUGGCCUAAUACUGACACUGAGGUGCGAAAGCAUGGGGAGCAAACAGGAUUAGAUACCCGGGUGUCC